rnacentral:rRNA from 1 species
ACGGGGGGGGCAAGCGUUGUUCGGAUUUACUGGGCGUAAAGGGCUCGUAGGCGGCCAUUCAAGUCGGUUGUGAAAUCCCCGGGCUCAACUCGGGAACUGCAGCCGAAACUGGGUGGCUAGAAGCCGGGAGAGGGAUGCGGAAUUCCAGGUGUAGCGGUGAAAUGCGUAGAUAUCUGGAGGAACACCCGUGGCGAAGGCGGCAUCCUGGACCGGUCUUGACGCUGAGGAGCGAAAGCUAGGGUAGCAAACGGG